rnacentral:rRNA from 1 species
UCAACGCGGGAAAUCUUACCGGGUCCGGACACACUGAGGAUUGACAGAUAUAUACCCCGUGAUUUUAUCGCGGGGUUGAAAGAUGCUAGUUCUUUCAUGAUUAUGUGAUAGGUGGUGCAUGGCCGUUCUUAGUUCGUGGAGUGAUCUGUCUGCUUAAUUGCGUAUCAAUAAUAGAGACCUAGUAUACGCGUAGACUCAUGCGGUAGUGACCCCCCUUCACAGGGCGCGUGUCGCACGUAUGUUAUACGCACAGGUCUCCGAUAGCAACGAACGUGACCGUACUCUAUUGUUGCAGCGACAAUACCUUUCAACGGGUAUUACCGCUGCUUAGCAAGAUUCGUCUUGCAUUAAACUAUAGAGACCGCUGUUUCUUCUUUAAACCAGAGGAAGGAUACGGCAAUAACAGGUC